GUGAAUCAUCAAAUUUUUGAACGCAAAUUGCACUCUUUUGGGAGAGUAUGCCUGUUUGAGGGUCAGUCUAUAAAAAUUGUCAUCGUUGCCGUUUUGCGGAGGCGUUCGUCGGUAUUUGGGUCAUUUUAAAUGCUUUUGAUUUAAGCGACUUAAAAUUUUCUUUUGGUUCCAUGAACGUAUCUAAGAUCUAUUUCUUUACAAGUUUAAGGUAUCGAUUCUUACUAGAUGUGAACAGCAUAUCGGAUCGUGUCCAUAAUAU
rnacentral:misc_RNA from 1 species